rnacentral:rRNA from 1 species
AUUGAACGCUGGCGGCAUGCUUAACACUUGCAAGUCGAACGGUAACAGGCCCUUCGGGGUGCUGACGAGUGGCGGACGGGUGAGUAAUGCUUAGGAAUCUGCCUAGUAGUGGGGGAUAACCCGGGGAAACUCGGGCUAAUACCGCAUACGCCCUACGGGGGAAAGGCGGGGACGUUUCGGCCGUCGCGCUAUUAGAUGAGCCUAAGUCCGAUUAGCUAGUUGGUAGGGUAAUGGCCUACCAAGGCGACGANCGGUAGCUGGUCUGAGAGGACGACACGCCACACUGGGACUGAGACACGGCCCA